rnacentral:rRNA from 1 species
AAAUUGAAGAGUUUGAUCAUGGCUCAGAUUGAACGCUGGCGGCAGGCCUAACACAUGCAAGUCGAACGGUAACAGGAAGCAGCUUGCUGCUUUGCUGACGAGUGGCGGACGGGUGAGUAAUGUCUGGGAAACUGCCUGAUGGAGGGGGAUAACUACUGGAAACGGUGGCUAAUACCGCAUAACGUCGCAAGACCAAAGAGGGGGACCUUCGGGCCUCUUGCCAUCAGAUGUGCCCAGAUGGGAUUAGCUUGUUGGUGAGGUAACGGCUCACCAAGGCGACGAUCCCUAGCUGGUCUGAGAGGAUGACCAGCCACACUGGAACUGAGACACGGUCCAGACUCCUACGGGAGGCAGCAGUGGGGAAUAUUGCACAAUGGGCGCAAGCCUGAUGCAGCCAUGCCGCGUGUAUGAAGAAGGCCUUCGGGUUGUAAAGUACUUUCAGCGGGGAGGAAGGUGUUGCGGUUAAUAACCGCAGCAAUUGACGUUACCCGCAGAAGAAGCACCGGCUAACUCCGUGCCAGCAGCCGCGGUAAUACGGAGGGUGCAAGCGUUAAUCGGAAUUACUGGGCGUAAAGCGCACGCAGGCGGUCUGUCAAGUCGGAUGUGAAAUCCCCGGGCUCAACCUGGGAACUGCAUUCGAAACUGGCAGGCUUGAGUCUUGUAGAGGGGGGUAGAAUUCCAGGUGUAGCGGUGAAAUGCGUAGAGAUCUGGAGGAAUACCGGUGGCGAAGGCGGCCCCCUGGACAAAGACUGACGCUCAGGUGCGAAAGCGUGGGGAGCAAACAGGAUUAGAUACCCCUGGUAGUCCACGCCGUAAACGAUGUCUACUUGGAGGUUGUGCCCUUGAGGCGUGGCUUCCGGAGCUAACGCGUUAAGUAGACCGCCUGGGGAGUACGGCCGCAAGGUUAAAACUCAAAUGAAUUGACGGGGGCCCGCACAAGCGGUGGAGCAUGUGGUUUAAUUCGAUGCAACGCGAAGAACCUUACCUGGUCUUGACAUCCACAGAACUUUCCAGAGAUGGAUUGGUGCCUUCGGGAACUGUGAGACAGGUGCUGCAUGGCUGUCGUCAGCUCGUGUUGUGAAAUGUUGGGUUAAGUCCCGCAACGAGCGCAACCCUUAUCCUUUGUUGCCAGCGAUUAGGUCGGGAACUCAAAGGAGACUGCCAGUGAUAAACUGGAGGAAGGUGGGGAUGACGUCAAGUCAUCAUGGCCCUUACGACCAGGGCUACACACGUGCUACAAUGGCGCAUACAAAGAGAAGCGACCUCGCGAGAGCAAGCGGACCUCAUAAAGUGCGUCGUAGUCCGGAUUGGAGUCUGCAACUCGACUCCAUGAAGUCGGAAUCGCUAGUAAUCGUGGAUCAGAAUGCCACGGUGAAUACGUUCCCGGGCCUUGUACACACCGCCCGUCACACCAUGGGAGUGGGUUGCAAAAGAAGUAGGUAGCUUAACCUUCGGGAGGGCGCUUACCACUUUGUGAUUCAUGACUGGGGUGAAGUCGUAACAAGGUAACCGUAGGGGAACCUGCGGUUGGAUCACCUCCUUA